rnacentral:lncRNA from 13 species
UAAGUCAGCCUCCAAAAUAGCCCCAGUAAUGCUCACCUUCCGUCUUGUCACCUCUGUGUGAUUCUGUCUAUACUGCAGCAGGGUUGGUUGCUGAGCCCCGUAACAUCCUGUGAAGGUGAUGGGGCAGCUUUCUUCUCAGGCUCUCAUUGGCUUUUCCUCUCUCUUGGAUCACUGGCUCAGGAGAAACCAGCUGUCACGUUGUGAGCAGCUCUACGAAGAAGCCCAAGUAACCAGGAACUUGUUUCCAACCAACAGCCAGCAAGGACCUAAGGACCAGCCCCGGUCAAUCCUGCAGAAGUCUGCAGCCUCAGCUAACAGUGAGACACAACCUCAGGAGAGGCUCCCAGCCAGAACCACCCGGGGAUAUGGGUGAAUCUGGAAACCAUCAUUCUCAGCAAACGGACACAAGAACAGAAAACCAAACACCACAUAUUUUCACUCAUAGGUGGGUAUUGAACAAUGA